CACCAGGGCACUCCUGAGACCAUAACCACUACAGAGCUUUGUAGUAGUUAUGGUGCUUGAAGUGUUCCUUCA